rnacentral:rRNA from 1 species
AGUGAACGCUGGCGGCAUGCCUAACACAUGCAAGUCGAGCGAGCGGCGGACGGGGGAGUAAAGUCUGGGAAACUGCCCGAUGGAGGGGGAUAACUACUGGAAACGGUAGCCUAUACCGCAUACCAUCAGAUGUGCCCAGUUGGUAUUAGCUAGUCUGGGGGGUAACGGCUCACAAAGGCGACGAUCCCUAGCUGGUCUGAGAGGAUGACCAGCCACACUGUAACUGAGACACGGUCCAGACUCCUACGGGAGGCAGCAGUGGGGAAUAUUGCACAAUGGGCGAAAGCCUGAUGCAGCCAUGCCGCGUGUGUGAUGAAGGCCUUCGGGUUGUAAAGUACUUUCAGCGGGGAAGCGGUACCCGCAGAAGAAGCACCGGCUAACUCCGUGCCAGCAGCCGCGGUAAUAC